AACGUAGGGGGCCAGCGUUGCUCGGAAUUACUGGGCGUAAAGGGUCUGUAGGCGGUGCGGCAAGUCGGAAGUGAAAUCUCAGGGCUUAACCCUGAGGCUGCUCCCGAAACUGCUGUGCUAGAGUGCGAGAGAGGCGAGUGGAAUUGCCGGUGUAGCGGUGAAAUGCGUAGAUAUCGGCAGGAACACCCGAGGCGAAAGCGGCUCGCUGGAUCGCAACUGACGCUGAGAGACGAAAGCUAGGGGAGCAAACAGG
rnacentral:rRNA from 1 species